AUCAUUUUAAUAUCAUGUUAUUCGUUCAUAUCCUUUUAUUUGUUUAUAUCCUUUGUAUUAAGCUUUGAGUAAUGGCAUUUGAUUAAAACAUUUAUUCAAUAUAUUACACAUAUAGUUUCAUUUAUGUUGUUAUACAUAUUAUAUAUAUUAUACAUAUUACAAAAUGUGCUUACAGAAGAGUUAGCCUUCUGUCUGGUAAGAGGUUAUAAGCUUUAGUUGGCGAGGUGAGAGGUGAGACAGAGUGCACUGAGGUCGAGACACACAGUUUGCCUGCACACACACACACACACACACACACACACACACACACACACAGUAUAUAGACUCAUUUCUAGGUAAGAGUUCAGACAUAUUUUGCUUGUAACUGCAUUUGUGCCUGCAUAAGUGACAAUUUGUUGUAGGAUGUGUUUCUGAUGUUCCAGAGAUAAGCGAGAAGAAGCGAGAAGACAGGAAGCACCUGGCGUCGAGACGGAGAAAAUGUUCUUUUUGAAUGUGUCAAAGGUUGUGGUUGUUGUAACUUAUGCAUGUCAUGUAUCUGCUUUGACGCAUGAAGGGGCGUAAUAAUACCCUGACGUAUAAAACAUUCUGAGUAUGCUUUCUUGUGGGGAUUUUAUGCUGAGGGUUGUGACGGUGUAUUUCCUCCACACGUGUGUUUAAUAAAAUCAUUGUUUUGACGCACUUGGACCUGUGGUCGUUUGUCUCUCACCUCAAUCACGAACCGGUGACAGUUUUGGUGCCGUUGACCCGGAUUGAGGAGGGACGUUUUUUGGCUGAGGUCCAGUGGUGUGGUCAAACGGAUGGACAGGAGCCAGCAGGUCGACUGAGUGACGGGCCCUUUAUAAGACAGGUAAGGCACCGCCUAUUGAUUAAAGUGAAUAUCUAAAAGGUGCUGAAUUGGAAAUAAAGUUAAGUUGAAUGUCCACUCAGUAGAGUUUCUGGUGAAAUGUCCGUGGUGAUUUUGGGUCAUUAGUGAUAAAAGUAAAAGUUUGGGGAAUAUUUGACUGACAAAAUUUAGUGUUGUUAAUUCUGGGUUGAAUUUUAAGUUAAUAGGUUGUGUGUUUAAGUUUAUAUGUUAUGUGUUUAAGUUGAUGUGUUAUACUUGUUGAUUGUGACAUCAGCCAAGAAAAAGUUUAGAUUAGGGUAUUUGGUUAAGGGAUUUUAUUCCCAGAUUGAUUAGCAGAAUUAGAUUCGGGCAUCAGAUAAUAAACUGCAUGGCACUUGGAGUCCACAGUGAUGCUUUUAAAUGUGUUUAAAUAAAUUCUAGGACGGAAGUUGGACUUCCAGGGGUGCAAAAUGUUCUGAGCGUUAUGACUCCAUCUUGCGGCAGACGCGCUGCAAUUUCCUCCAGGCAAGAGGCUUAAUUCGGGUGAUACCCGUGACAGGUAGGGACAGUCGUUAAUAAUCAGUGGUCAAGGAUCACUUUUCUUGCACCGUUUGACCGACAGGGGCAGGGCCCCCGGGCGUGACCAUUUCAAACGUGGCUCACAUGUAAGCUUUACGUAAAGCUUCAGGCGCCAGCAGGACGCUGGGCGUUCAUGAGGUGGAGCUUCCUGUCGAGCUGCGGGGAGCGCUUAUAAAUUAACAUAGGGCCUAGAAAUUUGAUUGCUAUCGGUGAGGGCGUUCCCGAAGCGCGUUGAUUGACCAGCAAGGUUGGACCUGGGCUUAGAGACUUUUAAAUUAAUGAAGGGAAAAGUUAGGUGUACCGGUACUGAGGUUUUGAAAAGGUGAUAUGGAAAUGGUUAAUAAUAUCGGUUUUGAAGCGGUGAUAUGGAAAUGUUGAAGAAUUUAUCUUGGCAUCUGGUGUCCUUUGUUAUGUUUGUACAUGUCUGAAUAUAUAAUGAAGUGUUGAAUUGCAUGGUUAUAAGUGGGUGUGGUGUGAAAGUGAUUUGAUACAGAAGCUGAGUGAAUGAGGAUAAAAUAAAAUACUGUGUGAAAAGUAUUGUGAAAUUUGCUGAUGAAAAGCUGAAAGAUGUGAUGAUGUGUUCCUGAACUGUGUUAAAUUGUGGUGAAUUUUUCUAGUGUUUUUAAGUUUGAAGUUUGUGUACUGGUGAAGCGCUGAAGUGGGUGCUUUUGAUGAAUCUUGUUAUUGUUUAUUGAAGAAAAGAGCAUAAUAGAGUUUUUGUUGAUUUUGCUGGAGCUUGUGUGUAAUAUUUUGAGUAUAAUGAAUAAACGUUGUAGUAUUGUGUUUGUGAUUUUAUAUUGUGAGUACGGGUGUUGUAAUUUUUCAUGAAGAGUUUUAUUAAGAGAACUCCUUUAAAAACUCCUGUAAAAAUAGAGUUGUUGAUUGUUUGCUAAGUAUAUAAUUCAAAAGGAAUAAUUGUAUGAUUUGUGGUUGAUAUUUUCAUUUGGCCUAAAGAAGGCAGAAGUGUGUGUGUGGUUUAUUUUUGACAUUUUUCAGAGCAGAGAAAACGGGGGCGUGUGGUUUGAUUUAUUUCUUCUCCGUACACUGUAAACCCAAAUGUUCAAAGUAAUUAAAUAGAUUAAGUAGUGUAUACUCAAAGUCUUUAAAAAGUUCUGUUAACUUAAAUAUGUCAAGUUCGUGUAACAUGUUCUUCUUUUUGAGUAAAUGAAACUAAUAAUUUUUGAUUGAAUUGAACUAUUUCUAUAUUAAGUAAGCAUCACUUAAAAUUAUAACUUAAGCACAGCGUAACACAGGACAUAUAAGAAUGGUAAAGUCCUGUUAUUUUUGUUGUUUCAAGUAGGUAGGAUUUAAUAAUAAACUUAAUUUAUGUAGCACAUGCUAAAAUACAAUAAAAUCUCAAAGUGUUUCACCAAAUAAGUAAAAUCAAAUUGUCUUAAAUGCAUUAGUGGAAGAAAAAAUGUAUUUAUUUUAAUAUUCAUUGUCUUAUCAAUGUAUCCUAUAUAUUUUUUUUUAUUUUUUUCCGUAAGUGUUAAGCAGCUGCAGGAAUCAAUUUUUAUUCCGAGUUAAUCUCUGAUUCACCCUCCGAAGGGGAAGGUGGCGCUAAUGAGCAUUAUACACUGAUCGUUUACCGCUAUUUGGAAAAAAAUACGAAACAGAAGAAGUAAAGGUAUAUGGGCGGGAAACAGCACCAAAGAGGCAACACGGACGACUGGAGAAAGUUGGACCUAACGGCAGCAACUAGCAUCACUGGACUUACACUUCAAGAAUUAAUACGGAGUCAAGGAAGAGAACUGGGGAUGUGAUAAAGAUACCAGACCCAAGCGAGCAGAAGUCAACUUCCUACCAAACUUUCCCCAAGGAAAGGAUCCUUCAAGCCUUGACCAGUUGAGGCAAGCAAUUGUUGAAGAAGUCAAGAAGGCUGAGAAGAACCUGCCCCUCAUUAGAAAGUUGAUGGAGACCACAUUUCCCCUGCGCAGACAAACCAUAGUGAUGUCCUGCCCACCAGUGAAGGAGCUCUUGGACCUCUGGCCUGCUCUAAAAAUGGAGUCUGAGUUGUAUGCAGAGUUUCAGCGGAUUACAAAUCAGAACCUGCCCAAUGCAUUCUACGCUGAACUUGACCGCCAUCUUCCUCGACUGAUGACCUUAUUCAGACAGAAGGCAUCAAAACUGGGAAGACAGCAGAUGCCCUGGCUGAAAUUCUAAGAAUUCACGAUGAACAGAACAUCCAUGAUAUCCACACCAAGCGCACUACCGUUCUCCACGCCCUUCCUGUCUAUCUGCGUGAGGAUGUCUCUGGAUUUUUCAGAACCUGCACUGACGAAUCUGAUGAGUUGGAGCUUGAUGGUGUUGAAGUGGCCCUCUUCACUGUCAUCAGUGACCAUGACACGACAAGUCCAGUUCACUACCAACCUGUGAAAACCUCUGUCGUCAUUGAAAGUGAUGCCGUGGUCAGUCUCCCCAGAUUUGGUGAAGCCUUCCUGGUAAUGUUUGGACUGAUCUAUGCACUUCACCUCAGCUACCCCAAAACCCUGACCAACACUUUAGAAUUUACUCAAAAGAUUUUACUUGGUCUAGAAAGUGGUAAACUGUCACCCAGGUUACAGACCCUCAAGAAUGACUUGGUUAUGUAGGAACUCAUCUGAAAGAAGGAUGCAGGGUAAAGCAUUAUAAAAGGCUAGUUCAAAGUUCUCUCCUUUUAUCUAAAUGCCUCAAAAUGUUAUUGCAUUACUCGACAGGUGUUCAGCCAAUAGGUCCAAACUAUACAACGUGCCUUUGUCCUCAUUAACAUAAUGCAAAGCAACACUAAUGUUUUGUAUGUUUUAAUGUUUUUUGUAAUACUAUUUCUAAAACAUUGUGGGCUGCGCAAGAUGACCUAAAUUUCACUGUUUGAUACUGGUUAAUGUAAAACAAAUAGCAUUGUAAUUCACUCAAAUUGCUGCCCUGUUGCCUUAUUCAGAUAUUAGCCAGAGAGCCAAAGGCACAUUUUGAUAUUAUUUAUUAUUAUUUGGCAUUAUUUUUUAUU